rnacentral:rRNA from 1 species
CCUACGGGAGGCAGCAGUGGGGAAUAUUGGGCAAUGGGCGCAAGCCUGACCCAGCAACGCCGCGUGAAUGAAGAAGGCCUUCGGAUUGUAAACUUCUGUUAUGGGGGAUGAACACAAUGACGGUACCCCAAUAGCAAGCCACGGCUAACUACGUGCCAGCAGCCGCGGUAAUACGUAGGUGGCAAGCGUUAUCCGGAAUGACUGGGCGUAAGGGGUGAGUAGGUGGGAUAGUAAGUUCGAGGUGAAAAUCAUGGGCUCAACCUGGGGGCUGCCUACGAAACUGGUAGACUAGAGUGCAGGAGAGGCAGGUGGAAUUCCUAGUGUAGCGGUGAAAUGCGUAGAUAUUAGGAGGAACACCAGGGGCGAAGGCGGCCUACUGGACUGUAACUGACGCUGAGGCACGAAAGCGUGGGGAGCAAACAGGAUUAGAUACCCCUGUAGUC